rnacentral:rRNA from 1 species
AACACGCAUGACACACUGCAUAUCAAUAAGCGGAGGAAAAGAAACUAACAAGGAUUCCCUUAGUAACGGCGAGUGAAGCGGGAAGAGCUCAAAUUUGAAAUCUUCAAGGUUUGACCUUGACGAAUUGUAGUUUAAAGAAGUGUUUUCGGUUAGGAGUUUAGGUAAAAGUUCUUUGGAAUAGGACAUCAUAGAGGGUGAGAAUCCCGUAUUUGACCUAUUAUUUCCAGCUGUGUGAUACACUUUCAAAGAGUCGGAUUGUUUGGGAAUGCAGUCCAAAAUGGGUGGUGAAUUUCAUCUAAAGCUAAAUAUUGGCGAGAGACCGAUAGCGAACAAGUACCGUGAGGGAAAGAUGAAAAGAACUUUGAAAAGAGAGUUAAACAGUACGUGAAAUUGUCAAAAGGGAAGCGUUUGACACCAGUGUUGUUUUUCCGAAAAUCAAUUAAAAAUUGAUUCAUGCCAGGUUGUAUUGACCUUAUCAGCUUGCAAUUUGGUUUUGGGUCUCUUUUUGAUGCACUUUUCGGUUAACAAGUCAACAUCAAUUUCCUUUGCUGUAAAAAGGUAAGAGGAAGGUGGCUUCAAUUUCGGUUGAAGUGUUUAUAGCCUUUUAUCUCUGCAGUCGGGGAGAUUGAGGUCUGCAGCGUAGAUCCUUCGGGGCUAGAUACAUUUAUGCUAAGUUAUAGCUUUUCAUAGACAACUUGUUGACUAUGUUUAGUCAUGUAGCUUACUCGUAAGUGCUAUUUUACCUACGCUUAGGAUGUUGACUGAUAUGUAGUCGUA